GUGGGGAAUAUUGGACAAUGGGCGAAAGCCUGAUCCAGCCAUGCCGCGUGUGUGAAGAAGGUCUUCGGAUUGUAAAGCACUUUAAGAUGGGAGGAAGGGCAGUAAGCUAAUACCUUGCUGUUUUGACGUUACCGACAGAAUAAGCACCGGCUAACUUCGUGCCAGCAGCCGCGGUAACACGAAGGGUGCAAGCGUUAAUCGGAAUUACUGGGCGUAAAGCGCGAGUAGGUGGUUUUGUAAGUUGAAGGUGAAAUCCCCGGGCUCAACCUGGGAACUGCAUCCAAAACUGCAUGACUAGAGUACGGAAGAGGGUAGUGGAAUUUCCUGUGUAGCGGUGAAAUGCGUAGAUAUAGGAAGGAAAACCAGUGGCGAAGGCGACUACCUGGACUGAUACUGACACUGAGGUGCGAAAGCGUGGGGAGCAAACAGGAUUAGAAACCCGAGUAGUCC
rnacentral:rRNA from 1 species